ensembl:lncRNA
CGGGUGGGGGCCGGCGGGGGCGGCGCAGGGUCUCCCCUGCGAGGCCAGGCGGAGGUUCGCGGCUCCAGGUGCCCGCUCUGCUCCUCCCAGAAGCUGGACUCACGGGAAACGCAGGCCCGGCCGCCCCGCGAGCCCUCUAUUUACAGCCAGGGCUUGUGAAGGAGGCGGCGCUGAGAAGGCAGCCUUGGGAGGUCCAAGGCGUCUGAAGAUUUCAUCAGGACGUGCCCCCUGCGGCUCCUCCCCGGGGUUUGGGGUCACGAGGAUGUUGCCGCCUGGGACCCCUCCUGGUUACUGCCGUGAACCCGCCGGGCGCGGGGCCUCCUGCCACCUCGACGUCCGGGCUCCAGGCUCCCGGAUCUGGGCCCUUCUCGACAAAGCCGCAAGAGACCCGUGGCCCCUACUUAGAGAGCAGAGCUACCAAACGCCUGGUCACUCAGGCCAGUGACCUCCCACGGGCAUCCUGGGGUCCCCCCUCUUCUCCAGCCUACCUUGAAGACGCUAAAUUUGAAACAGGCUGCGAGUCUUUCCGCCCCCAUCCUGCUCUCCAGUGGGCAGCUCCGUCGUUGCUGGGGUCACUGUCCCCCUAUCCUCUGCCUACCCAGAAAUCUACUCUCAACAUCCACCCAGAGCCAGAGAGAGCUCCGGGAAAUCAAAUGAGCUCCUCUCACCUGGAGAAUGUCAACCAUGUGAGAGAAGAAACUGUCUGUUCGCUGUGGAUCCCUGCUCUGAGAACGGGGUCAGCCACAGGAUGGGUGAACUGAGACCCAGGAGGACAAAGUGCCUGCUCCACACCCCAAGCCAGGGGCCCUGCUCUGUGCGGGGGGAUCCGCCUGCGUGGUUGUGGGGGCCACUUGUGGCUGUCGGGCGUCAUCUAUCCCUGACACAUGGCCAAGGAAGAUAGGGACAAAAGGCACAAAUAUGCCAAAAGACAAAAGACUAAAAGCCACAUGGUUCAGAGGAGACAGAGCUGGAGGCUGGGUGCCCAGUGGCCUGGAAAGCUCCCAGAGGACGAGGGGUCUGAAUGGCUUGAGGAGCCGGUGGACCCAAACUUUGAGGGUCAACUCAUGGGAGGGCCUUAGGCAGGAACAGGCUGAGGCAAAUUCCUCAAGAAGGUAAUUCAGGGACAGAAGCAUCCGCUGGCUGCCUGUCACAGCCAGGGGCCUUUCACACAGAAAUCAGAUCAUGUGUUCGCUGCCUGGAACCUUAGCUGCUUCUGUACUGAGGCAGCUCAACAGACGACCACAAACCGGGUGGCUUCAGACAGGGGUGAUUUGUCUCUCAAGUUCAGGAAACCGGAAGUCUGAAAUGGGGGGCAGGGUCGGUCCCUCCUGGGGCUCCGAGGCAGCAUCUGUUCCAGGCCCCCUCCAGCUUCUGGUGGGGACCGGCCUCCUUGGGGUCCCUUGGCUUGUAGAUGCAUCGCUCCCAUCUCUGCCUCACGGUCACACGACCUUCUCCAUUUGUGUCUUCACACGGCUUCAGACAAGGACGCUAGUCAUUGUAUUUAGCGUCACCCGAACCCAGUACGACCUCAUCUUAACUAAUCACAUCUGCAAAGACCCUCUUUCCAAAGAAAGUCACAUUCUGAGGUUCCGGGAGGGGCAACGCUAUUCAACCCAGUGCAGCUUCCCAUUCUCCCGGAUUGAAAGCUGAGCCCUCUCCAGGCCUGUGGGGCAGAGCAGCCUGGUGCUUGAGACCAGGAGGCUGGAGCUGGGCUGCCCGGGUGAGCACCCAGCUCGGUCGUCACCCCCGUGUGCCUGAUGGUGGGUCAUGGCUCCCUGUUCUUUAUUCCCCUUUUGCCACGUGAUGUCAUGGGGCCUCCCAACGAUGUGGGAUGGCCAGGUGACCUGCUCUGCUCAAUGGGGCACUCGUGGGCUUGACCACGCAGAGGCCCUAAGUGCACUUGUGGGAUCUGGCUUGGUUCUUGGCUUCUGGAAGGUCCUGCCCCGAGGAGCUGCCCUCCUAGGGCUGAUGAGAGCUUCGCAGGGCUGACCUGAGGCCGAUCCCCAGCCUGCGGCCAAGCCCGGCAGCCCGGUGACCCUCCACAGAGUCACCCCAUCGAGCCCAACUCAGAUCAGCUGAACCCAGACAACCUGCCCUCCGCGAGCUGGGAAGUAAGUCACUGCGUUUGGAUGGUUCGUUACAGAUCAACACUGGGACAGUGGCCGAGGAAAACAGAAAAACGCCGCUGGGCACUCAACCCCCCUCUCGGUUUCCCCAUCUGUAAAAUGGGGCUGAUAACAGUACUGGCCUCCUCAGUUGUUGUGAGGGUGAAGUGAGAUAAUAAAGGGGCGGAGGCAAGAGCAGAUGAGGUCCCUGCCCCACGGAGCUCCCACGUUGGCAGGAGAGAGACAGGAAUGUGAAAUCGAGCGGGGCCGCACGUGGCCGGUGGUGAAGGUUGCCAAGAGGGAAGCACAGCAGGAUAGGGAGGCGGGGACAGGAGUGGUGCGGGCUCAACAGGCUGUUCAGGGAGGGACUCACUGAGACAGUGACAUGGGGCAAGGGGCCUGAAGAAAUGAGCAGGGGGCACGAGUGUUCUGCAGGGAGCGUUCAAGGCAGAGGGCACAGCCGGUACAAGGCCCGUGUGUGCGAGGAGCAGUGGGGGCCAGAGUGGCUGCAGGGAGGUGGACGAGGGAACUGUGGGGGCCGAGGUCAGAGAGGUGACAGGACGGGAUCCGUGUACGACCUUGAGGGCCAGUGAAAGGACGCUGGCAUUCCCUGUGCGUGUCAGAGCCCUUGGAUGGGUCUGAGCACAGGAGUGACGUGCUCUGAGUUCAUUUUAGGUGACCCCUCAGGCUGUGUGCGGGGCCAGACUGUGGGGCAGAGGGCAGAAGCAGCCGGACCUGCGAGGAGGCCGCCAGGGCGGGGGCAGGAAGGUGCAGGCCGGGGUCACCAGUGCCAGCUCUGGGAUUUGCACCUGAGGGUCGGCUGACGGGAUCUGCUGAUGGAUGGGGCGGAGGCGGUAAGAGGGAAACAGACCGUCAAGGAGGACGCCAAGGGCUUUGGGCUGAGCGGCUGGAAGGACUGCCGUGCUCCUGAGUCAGGUGUGGGAGGUCUCAGGAGGAGCAGGCGGGAGCAGGGAGCGGCUGAGAGGCAGAGAGACCUUCCAGAAAGGUCUGGGGUCCUGAGCCAACUUGGCCCCCCCUCAAGAGCUUCCUUCAUCUGAGCUGCAAGGACGACCACCUGUGUUGUCCCCGAGCGGGUGACGCCAGCCAGGCUCUGCACUUGUGUCUCCCUCCGAGAGACAAAGGUCAAUGUCACAGCAGUCUGCUCUGAUGCUGGCUUCAAGCCAAGGCCCUUAAUAUUCAAUGAGAAAUCUGCAUUGAUGAAAUUUUCAUUAAAGAAACAUUAUCCGUUUCCCUUGCCUUGUUAUUCUGUGGCUGUGGGUAUCAGGCUAAUUUGGGUUUGAUUACCCCGAUGAUCUGAAGAUUGGAGCAUUAUUAAAAAUUUAGAUGAGCAAUGAUAGGUCUGCGCCUCCCUCUCCUCUCUCAGCCGGAGCACAGGGGCUCUGCUAACGAUCACAACGAAUUCGGGGCAGACAUGGCAAUUAGAGGAGUAUCGAUAGUUCGAGGGGGCUUCAACCCCUCUGCCUCCAACGGAAAUCGGCUGGGUGGCUUCCAGGGCACUCAGAUUUAAUUGAUAAAAUGCAGCAAAAGAGAAUUCCAGUCCUAGACCCAGUUGCAGUCUAAUGAGCUGUAUGCGUGCCUGAGCGGGUCCCCUCCCCUUCCUGUGCCUGAAACGUGCCCCACGUGUGGAGGAAGGAGCCUGCACCAGGCAGAUGCCUAGAAACGGUGCCCGUGGGCUGCGGUCAGCUGCAGAGGGAAUCUGUUGGCCAGCUGUUUUUUUAUCUGUUUAAUGAGCACCUUCCUAGACUUAUGAUCUCGGGCUCUGUGUUUCCUGUCUAUUAAUUGUCUGAUUCUCCCAACCACCAUGAGAGACAGAUGCUCUCAUCAUUCCCACCUCACGGAUGGGGAAACUCUGACCAAGAGGGCUGACGUGGUUUACUCUGGGUCACCUGCCAGGCAGGAGCAAGGGUACGAGUUGAACUCAGUGGUUUGUCCUCCAAACCCUGCUUUAACACCUGUGCUACAAUUCCUCAGUGUUUCAGAAGUAAUUAGGUAUCAAAUUUAAAACAUUUGUAGUUUUCUAUAGAAACAGAACUUACAUAUUAAGAAGUUGGCAGCUCUGGUUCUGUAAAGGUGUCUGUCUCUGGAAUGUCACUAUUUUGUACUUCAUGAGACACUAAUUACUAACAUCAUUUACCAUUUGUCUGUCAGGAGAGAUGGCAGCUUUCAAAACGGGAGCCCAAUCUUUCAACAAGCCCAAGAGAAAAACUGGCAAUGUGCAGGGGGGAAAACCUAUUUGAAAGCAUCAGAGAGCGACUUAGGCUGCCAGGACCUGAGGGACCAGCAUCUCAUACCGAGGGACAUGCACUGAGGGGAGCCCUACAUCCUCCACCUCCUUCCUCUUUGAGGAUUUCCCAAUUCGUAAGUCGGGGGUGAGUGCCGACAGAAACCGAGAACCUUUCAGCAAGCUCAUGAAUCUGGGGACAAAACACUUGAAGUUGGAGGCCCCAAGGCAGCCAGGGUUUGAGGGCCCGAGAUCUCAGAGAAGAUAGGACCCCCUAGAAGAGGCUCUGAUUUGCUGCAGUGUUUUCGCUUUUGAAGCAUUUGCUGAUUCCUAAGCUGUACAGACAUGAGGCUCAGAGGACAAGCAGAAAUUGAGCAGGUGAGAGGCCGAGAAAGUGAGCAACGUCUGCACCAAUAUCAUGACGCCCUAACAGCCGAACUUGGAGUUCGGUUGUCACCCAACAGGUGGAGCCACGGAAAAUGAACGCUGGUUUCCAUUGAGUCCUCCAACAGACUUGUUCUAGGAAGUAAGGACAAACCAAAUAAACCAGAUCUCAUAAAAAUGGAAAAUCA